AUGAAAGCAAAGGUAUCAAAUUGUUUGGGUAAUGGCAUGUCUUCUGGAAACACAAUAUCUAUUUCAAAAAUAGUGAGCACCAAUAGUGAUUCAAAUAUUAGUUUCGCUCCACAGCUCAACCUUUAUACAGAACCUGGCACCCUCGAAUUAGCCCCCCCCCCCCUGUAUGCAAUAAACUAUGAUCCUCUCGCUCCUUGUUACUUCUUAUCUUCCCAUGUGGCUGCCUUGUUUAACAUGUCAACUGCAUCCUUGUGCGUGUUCAGCUUUGCAAGAGCAACUGACUGA